rnacentral:rRNA from 1 species
UACAGAGGUGGCGAGCGUUGUUCGGAUUUACUGGGCGUAAAGGGUGCGUAGGCGGUUCCGCGUGUCGGAUGUGAAAUCUGGAGGCUCACCCUCCAAAGUGCAUUCGAAACUGCGAAACUCGAGUACAGGAGAGGAGAGCGGAAUUCUUGGUGUAGCGGUGAAAUGCGUUGAGAUCAAGAAGAACACCAGUGGCGAAGGCGAUUCUCUGGACUGUAACUGACGCUGAGGCUCGAAAGCGUGGGGAGCAAACAGGAUUAGA